CAGUCGCCGCGGUAAUACGUAGGGCGCAAGCGUUAUCCGGAAUUAUUGGGCGUAAAGAGCUCGUAGGCGGUUUGUCGCGUCUGCCGUGAAAGUCCGGGGCUCAACCCCGGAUCUGCGGUGGGUACGGGCAGACUAGAGUGAUGUAGGGGAGACUGGAAUUCCUGGUGUAGCGGUGAAAUGCGCAGAUAUCAGGAGGAACACCGAUGGCGAAGGCAGGUCUCUGGGCAUUAACUGACGCUGAGGAGCGAAAGCGUGGGGAGCAAACAGGAUUAGAUACCCGGGUAGUCCCUGUCUCUUAUAC
rnacentral:rRNA from 1 species